rnacentral:rRNA from 1 species
CCUACGGGAGGCAGCAGUGGGGAAUAUUGCACAAUGGGCGAAACCCUGAUGCAGCAACGCCGCGUGAGCGAUGAAGGCUUUCGGGUUGUAAAGCUCUGUCCUCAAAGAAGAUAAUGACGGUACUUGACGAAGAAGCCCCGGCUAACUACGUGCCAGCAGCCGCGGUAAUACGUAGGGGGCUAGCGUUAUCCGGAAUUACUGGGCGUAAAGGGUGCGUAGGCGGGAUGGCAAGUCAAGUGUGAAAUCCCCGCGCUCAACCAGGGAACUGCCUUUGAAACUGGCAAACUGGAGUGUGUGAGAGGAAAGUGGAAUUCCAGGUGUAGGGGUGAAAUCCGUAGAUAUCUGGAGGAACACCAGUGGCGAAGGCGACUUUCUGGAACAUAACUGACGCUGAGGAGCGAAAGCGUGGGUAGCAAACAGGAUUAGAUACCCUAGUAGUC